UGGUUCUGGCAUCGAUGAAGAACGCAGCGAAAUGCGAUAAGUAAUGUGAAUUGCAGAAUUCAGUGAAUCAUCGAAUCUUUGAACGCACAUUGCGCCCUUUGGCAUUCCGAGGGGCAUGCCCGUUCGAGCGUCAUUAAACCCCCUCAAGCCUGGCUUGGUGUUGGGCGCCGGGGACCUCCCGCGCCUCCAUUUCGCCGGCUGGCCGUCGUUUGACUUAGCGUUGUGACACAUGUCGCUAAUGAAAACGGCGGACCGCGCCGUGAAAAUUUCCUUGGGUGUCACUCGACACUUAGUACAGGUUGACCUCGGAUCGGGUAGGAAUACCCGCUGA
rnacentral:misc_RNA from 1 species